rnacentral:rRNA from 1 species
UACCAGCACCCCGAGUGGUCGGGACGAUUAUUGGGCCUAAAGCAUCCGUAGCCGGUUUUACAAGCCUCCGUUAAAUCCACCUGCUUAACAGGUGGGCUGCGGAAGAUACUAUAGAGCUAGGAGGCGGGAGAGGCAAGCGGUACUCGAUGGGUAGGGGUAAAAUCCGUUGAUCCAUUGAAGACCACCAGUGGCGAAGGCGGCUUGCCGGAACGCGCUCGACGGUGAGGGAUGAAAGCUGGGGGAGCAAACCGG